UACGUAGGGUGCAAGCGUUAUUCGGAAUUAUUGGGCGUAAAGAGCUCGUAGGCGGUUUGUCGCGUCUGCUGUGAAAACUGGAGGCUCAACCUCCAGCCUGCAGUGGGUACGGGCAGACUAGAGUGCGGUAGGGGAGAUUGGAAUUCCAGGUGUAGCGGUGAAAUGCGUAGAUAUCUGGAGGAAUACCGGUGGCGAAGGCGGCAUCCUGGACCAUUACUGACGCUGAGGCGCGAAAGCUAGGGGAGCAAACGGG
rnacentral:rRNA from 1 species